rnacentral:lncRNA from 1 species
GACAUUCUUGCUUCCCACGUAAGAGGUCCUGAAUUCAAUCUCUGGUACCUCCUGAAAAAAAAAAAAAAAAAAACAGUGGUGGCGGGGUGACGUCAUCAACCAGCGACGGAAGCGAUACCCGGGAAACACCUCCGCAGAGACUCUGGAGGUUGGUAGAGGCUGGAGAGGGGCUGCACAAACGCCGAAUUGAAGAAGGAGAAAAGUAUCAGGACUGAUGCUGUUACAACUACAUUGAAAGAGAGUUGACCAUCAGAAUGGUGUUUUUCUAGAGACAAAGAAGCUCUGAACUCCACUUGGAAUGAAAGGAGCCUCAUUAAUACUUGGGCUCCCUGCAUUCUGAGUCCAUUUGGAUUCUUAUGAAUAAGGGAGAGAAUAUUAACCAGCUUUGCUGUCCUUCUGCUUAUCUGGUUGUGAGUGAAAAUCCAGAGGAAGAUAGAUGCCAGCUCAGGUUUUGGCAAUGCAAUCCCAUGUGAGUAGGUAAUUCUUUGCACCUCUGUUGCCAGCAGAUGGGAAGAUUUCUCUUAUUGGUGUGAC